rnacentral:rRNA from 1 species
AUUGGACGCUGGCGGCAUGCUUUACACAUGCAAGUCGAGCGGCAGCGCGGGCUUCGGCCUGGCGGCGAGUGGCGAACGGGUGAGUAAUACAUCGGAACGUGCCCAGUAGUGGGGGAUAGCUCGGCGAAAGCCGGAUUAAUACCGCAUACGACCUGAGGGUGAAAGCGGGGGAUCUUCGGACCUCGCGCUAUUGGGGCGGCCGAUGGCAGAUUAGCUAGUUGGUGGGGUAAAGGCCUACCAAGGCGACGAUCUGUAGCUGGUCUGAGAGGACGACCAGCCACACUGGGACUGAGACACGGCCCAGACUCCUACGGGAGGCAGCAGUGGGGAAUUUUGGACAAUGGGCGAAAGCCUGAUCCAGCAAUGCCGCGUGUGUGAUGAAGGCCUUCGGGUUGUAAAGCACUUUUGGCGGGAACGAAAAGGACUGUGCCAAUACCACGGUUCGAUGACGGUACCCGCAGAAUAAGCACCGGCUAACUACGUG